GGACUACCAGGGUAUCUAAUCCUGUUUGCUCCCCACGCUUUCGUGUCUCAGCGUCAGUAUUCGUCCAGUUGGCCGCCUUCGCCACCGGUGUUCCUCUCGAUAUCUACGAAUUUCACCUCUACACCGAGAAUUCCACCAACCUCUCCGAUACUCAAGUCGCGCAGUUUUGGGUGCACUUCCCAGGUUAAGCCUGGGGCUUUCACAUCCAACUUACUCGACCGCCUACACACGCUUUACGCCCAGUAAUUCCGAACAACGUUUGCACCCUCUGUCUUACCGCGGCUGCUGGCAC
rnacentral:rRNA from 1 species